CUACGGGGGGCUGCAGUAGGGAAUUUUCGUCAAUGGGGGGAACCCUGAACGAGCAAUGCCGCGUGAAUGAAGAAGGUCUUCGGAUUGUAAAGUUCUUUUAUUGGAGAAGAAAGGUUAUAUCAGGAAAUGGAUAUAAUUUGACGGUAACCAUUGAAUAAGCCCCGGCUAACUACGUGCCAGCAGCCGCGGUAAUACGUAGGGGGCGAGCGUUAUCCGGAAUUAUUGGGCGUAAAGCGUGCGUAGGCGGUUUGUUAAGUCACUUGUAAAAGAUCUCAGCCUAACUGAGUAAGGCGAGUGAAACUGACAGACUUGAAUACGGUAGAGGUAAGUGGAAUUCCAUGUGUAGCGGUGGAAUGCGUAGAUAUAUGGAGGAACACCAAUGGCGAAGGCAACUUACUGGGCCGGAAUUGACGCUGAGGCACGAAAGCGUGGGGAGCAAACAGGAUUAGAUACCCUGGUAGUC
rnacentral:rRNA from 1 species